rnacentral:rRNA from 1 species
UACGUAGGGGGCUAGCGUUGUCCGGAAUCAUUGGGCGUAAAGAGCGCGUAGGCGGCUAGAUAAGUCCGGUGUGAAAGUCACAGGCUCAACCUGUGAAUGCCGCUGGAAACUGUCUGGCUAGAGUCCGGAAGGGGCGAGUGGAAUUCCUGGUGUAGCGGUGAAAUGCGCAGAUAUCAGGAGGAACACCAAUGGCGAAGGCAGGUCACUGGGCCGCAACUGACGCUGAGGAGCGAAAGCAUGGGGAGCGAACAGG